UAGCCGAUCUGAGAGGAUGUACGGCCACAUUGGGACUGAGACACGGCCCAGACUCCUACGGGAGGCAGCAGUGGGGAAUAUUGCACAAUGGAGGAAACUCUGAUGCAGCGACGCCGCGUGAGUGAAGAAGUAUUUCGGUAUGUAAAGCUCUAUCAGCAGGGAAGAAAAUGACGGUACCUGACUAAGAAGCACCGGCUAAAUACGUGCCAGCAGCCGCGGUAAUACGUAUGGUGCAAGCGUUACCCGGAUUUACUGGGUGUAAAGGGAGCGUAGGUGGCAAGGCAAGCCAGAAGUGAAAACCCGGGGCUCAACCGCGGGAUUGCUUUUGGAACUGUCAUGCUAGAGUGCAGGAGGGGUGAGCGGAAUUCCUAGUGUAGCUGUGAAAUGCGUAGAUAUUAGGAGGAACACCAGAGGCGAAGGCGGCUCACUGGACUGUAACUGACACUGAGGCUCGAAAGCGUGGGGAGCAAACAGGAUUAGAUACCCUGGUAGUCCACGCGGUAAACGAUGAAUACUAGAUGUCGGGUAGCAUAGCUACUCGGUGUCGUCGCAAACGCAAUAAGUAUUCCACCUGGGGAGUACGUUCGCAAGAAUGAGACUCAAAGGAAUUGACGGGGACCCGCACAAGCGGUGGAGCAUGUGGUUUAAUUCGAAGCAACGCGAAGAACCUUACCUGCUCUUGACAUCCCAUUCGAUAGAGGGUAAUGCCUCUAGCCCUUCGGGGGAAUGGAGACAGGUGGUGCAUGGUUGUCGUCAGCUCGUGUCGUGAGAUGUUGGGUUAAGUCCCGCAACGAGCGCAACCCUUAUUGUCAGUAGCCAGCAGGUGAAGCUGGGCACUCUGAUGAGACUGCCGGGGAUAACCCGGAGGAAGGUGGGGAUGACGUCAAAUCAUCAUGCCCCUUAUGAGCAGGGCUACACACGUGCUACAAUGGCGUAAACAGAGGGAAGCGAAGGAGUGAUCCGGAGCAAAUCUCAAAAAUAACGUCUCAGUUCGGAUUGUAGUCUGCAACUCGACUACAUGAAGCUGGAAUCGCUAGUAAUCGCAGAUCAGAGUGCUGCGGUGAAUACGUUCCCGGGUCUUGUACACACCGCCCGUCUCACCAUGGGAGUCGGUAAUGCCCGAAGUCAGUGACUCAACCUUAAAGGAGAGAGCUGCCGAAGGCAGGACUGGUAACUGGGGUGAAGUCGGAACAAGGUAGCCGUAUCGGAAGGUGCGGCUG
rnacentral:rRNA from 1 species